rnacentral:rRNA from 1 species
UACAGUGGCGUACGGGUGAGUAACACGUGACUAACCUACCCUCGAGUGGGGAAUAACCUCGGGAAACCGGGGCUAAUACCGCAUAACAUCUUCGGAUCAAAUGCGUAAGCAGCUUGAGGAGGGGGUCGCGGCCGAUUAGCUAGUUGGUGAGGUAAUGGCUCACCAAGGCAAUGAUCGGUAGCCGGCCUGAGAGGGCGCACGGCCACACUGGAACUGAAACACGGGCCAG